GGGAAAACACAGAAAAAUUGCAAAUUCCUCUAAUUACAAGCACUAACAGCUUAGCCUAUUGCCACACCACUUUGAAGCCAACCACCUCAUUGUCCUUAACGAUUGCCUUUCUAUCUACGUCGUCGUUGUGGUUGCCAUUCACCGCUUUGAAGCUAUCGACGUUGCCGUUUCGAUUGAACCGGAAGCAUGGAUCCCUAAAUAGCUGCCUGCGCUGCCUCGUUCCCUUCUUAGAAAAUCAUACUCUUUUAGGGUUUCCCGAUCUUCAUAGGCCAAAAGAAUUAGCCGAUUCAAGGAAUUCAAUUUGGUAAAGAUUCAACAAUUUUCCCAAUUCAAAUCCCAUAAAUCGAGGUAAAAAUCUCUGAACGGACUAAUUGAUUUGUUUGCAAAUGUGUUUUGUAUAGCUGGGUGGUGUUGUUCUGUAUUUAUCUAAUGGAAGUAGAGUUUCAAUUGGGUUAUUUAUUUCUUCCUUCUGAUGAGCUCUGAAACUCUUAUAUCACAAAAUGUGCAUAUGUACUGACAAAGGUUGAAUCUAUUGGACUGUUUAAUUAUUAUGCAAAAUCUCAUAUAGAUUGUUUAUAAAUACACAUGUAAAAUAGUCAUGUUUAUAACAUACCUAAUUGGCUUCUCUGUACUAUAAUUUCACACUAAUCACCUGAAUAAUAUAUAUUAUUUUUGAUAUAUUGUGUUGGAUGGGCUAGCUUACGUAGUUUUGGUAUCCUUAAUUUCCAAGAGACUUCUCAAAAAAUCAAUCUCUGAAAACCCUAAUCAUUCUUUUUUCUAAAUUUACGCUUGGGAAAAUUUUACUUAAAUUAAUUUGAUUUUGUGAGCUAUUCAAGUUAAGUAGAACCCUCAUUCUUCACAGAUUUUGAAAGUCUUUGACAUUGAUCCUGAUGCUGCAAAGACAGCAAUAGAAUCUCUGGAUUUGGCAUUUCACAUGUCAAACAUUCUGGACACAGGACUUGACCGUCACGUGCUGUCAGUGCUGAUUGCCUUGUGUGACUUGGGUUUAAAUGUAACACCCCCAUUUGCAUAGCCUGUUAUAUUUCACUAUUCUGGUGACUGAAGUUGGUUUGGACAAUUAAGAGGAUUAGAAUCAUAAUUAAGUCACCAAUAAAAACUCUGAACAAAAAUUAAAAGUGAUUACCCGAAGGUUAAAUACAGAUCAGAAAAAUAGAACAUAAAAAGUUAAAUGAGCCGGGGGUCACAGUGAUGGGUGACCGCACCGGGAAGUGACUGCGAAGUCAACUGUAACUCUAAAUUCGUAAGGGGCAUUGUGACACCGCAGUCCUAGGAAAAAUUGCGAAGCUAGGGAAAAUAUGAAAAUCACGGAAAAAGUUAGAGAAUCAGAUCAAAUAAUUAAGUCAGGGCUCCGGAAGAAAUAUUGAAUUAUUAGCAAACUCGAUCAGACCAGUAAGGGGCAAAUUGGUCAAUUCACCCCUAGAGGUGACUCAUGACCUAACUGUCCAAUAAAAUCUGAGAAAUGA
rnacentral:misc_RNA from 1 species